AACGGCCGGGGGGAGGGGGGGCAGCACUUCAAAAACAGUAGCUAUGAUCCAUUACUGCUUGAACAAAGUUUCCGAAAAACAGGCAGCAUUGCCAAUUAUUGUUUAUAUUGCAUCUCAAAAAACACAAAAUCUAAGAAGAGAACAUGUCUAAUGCCACUGCCAGAUGGUGAGUUCCCAUCAAGAAACAAAACUAAGAAGUAACAAUACAAAAAUUUAAAUAAAAAGAAUUCUUGUGUAAUGCUUUGCAGCGACAAUAAUAUUUCAGAUACCAUGCAGCAACACAAGGUCUUUUUCUUUAAACAUAAAUAAAACCACUUUUUUACAGAACCUUUAUUAAAAUAUCCCUAAACCUUUAUUAUGUCUAAGUUUUGACAUCUUAUGUUAGUUUUCUCCUGUAUCCAUGCCAAUGAACAAAGCUAAAACCAUUUGAUUUCUUUUCCAUAAAACAUGGAAUUAUUGAAGAAGAUGUAUUACUGUAUUACAGCAUCUCUCUCUCUCAGCAGGUUAACACUCUUUUAUCUUCAAAUAUGAAAAACAGAGCCAUGUAGCAUUCAAGGGCUAAAACAGCAGACUCAUAAUAAACAAUCCUGGAAGGGACAAAUAUAAUCAAAUGCGGAAUAUAUGGCCAGCAUUGAUGGAUAUCUCAAAUUUUAGGUUCACUUGUUUACCAUUUAAAUUUUCAUUUUUUCGUGCUACAUAUGUAUACAGGAAUGCACCCCAACACGCCCUCCCCCUAACAUCAUCUGAAAAAGAGACGAUAUUCAUCAACAAAUGUCACGGGAAAAACUAUCACACAGAAUUACUACACAAUCUGCAAAUCUUAGUACUAGUGCAAGUUUUUG
rnacentral:misc_RNA from 1 species